rnacentral:rRNA from 1 species
UACGUAGGGCGCGAGCGUUGUCCGGAAUUAUUGGGCGUAAAGAGCUCGUAGGCGGCCUGUUGCGUCCGCAUGUGAAAUCCCAGGGCUCAACCCUGGGCGUGCCAGUGGAUACGGGCAGGCUGGAGGCAGGCGAGGGAGAACGGAAUUCCCGGUGGUAGCGGUGAAAUGCGCAGAUAUCGGGAGGAACACCGGUGGCGAAGGC